rnacentral:rRNA from 1 species
CCCUUAGAUGUUCUGGGCCGCACGCGCGCUACACUGACGAAGUCAGCGAGCAUGUCCUACGCCGACUGGUGCGGGGAAUCUUGUCAAACUUCGUCGUGAUGGGGAUUGAUUAUUGAAAUUCUUGAUCAUCAACGAGGAAUUCCUAGUAAGCGCAAGUCAGCAGCUUGCGUUGAUUACGUCCCUGCCCUUUGUACACACCGCCCGUCGCUACUACCGAUUGAAUGGUUUAGUGAGAUCUUCGGAUUGGCGCCACUGCGGCUCAGCAAUGGGCUCGGUGGAUGCCGAAAAGUUGAUCAAACUUGAUCAUUUAGAGGAAGUAAAAGUCGUAACA